rnacentral:rRNA from 1 species
UACGAGGGGUCCUAGCGUUGUUCGGAAUCAUUGGGCGUAAAGCGCGUGUAGGCGGCUCGGUAAGUCUGCUGUGAAAGUCCAGGGCUCAACCCUGGGAUGCCGGUGGAUACUGUCGAGCUCGAGUCCGGAAGAGGCGAGUGGAAUUCCUGGUGUAGCGGUGAAAUGCGCAGAUAUCAGGAGGAACACCGAUGGCGAAGGCAGCUCGCUGGGACGUGACUGACGCUGAGACGCGAAAGCGUGGGGAGCAAACAGG